AUGUCGGUGGAGCAGAGCAGCCCGACAGAGGUGGGUGCCUCAUCUCGUCCCGCAGAUCACCGUCGGUGGUCACGACCACGUCAUUCCCUGUCGUGUGUCCCCUUCAACUACAGUGGUGCUCCUCCCCGCGUCGCCGUCGUUGGUGGAGCUCGCCUCACUCUCCUUACUCCGUCGGCUACAAGUACUCCUUACCUCCUCGGUGCUCCUCUUCGGCAUCAUCGCAGGCCAAUGAACGGCGACGACCAGGAGGCCUCUACCUCGAUUGCAGCCGGUCGUGGUCGUCUUGCUUCUCCGCGCCGCCGCCCCAUACAAUCGCGCUGCCGCUUCGCGUCCCUCUCAACAAAGAGGGCUACAAGAGCCGGGAGAACGCCGGUCGCUGGGCCUCCGAGCGUGAAGGUACAGGAGGAGAAGCUCGCUGAGGUGGCGGAAAUCUCACAAUCACAUCUCCCGUUAGGCGACGAAGACCGGCGUCUGCGACCACGCCCCACCAUCGUGCCUGUUUCUCCGGCUAUCUCCCCUUCCUCUCUCCGCUUGUCUAUCCUUGAAUUCUGA
rnacentral:rRNA from 1 species